ACGUAGGGUGCGAGCGUUAAUCGGAAUUACUGGGCGUAAAGCGUGCGCAGGCGGUUUUAUAAGACAGAUGUGAAAUCCCCCGGCUCAACCUGGGAACUGCGUUUGUGACUGUAUGACUAGAGAACGGUAGAGGGAGGCGGAAUUCCGCGUGUAGCGGUGAAAUGCGUAGAUAUGCGGAGGAACACCGAUGGCGAAGGCAGCCUCCUGGACCAGUACUGACGCUCAGGCACGAAAGCGAGGGGAGCAAACAG
rnacentral:rRNA from 1 species